rnacentral:piRNA from 1 species
UCUGAGUAAAAUGGGAGCCCCCAUGAGGGA